rnacentral:rRNA from 2 species
UCUGGUGACUAUAGCAAGGAGGUCACACCUGUUCCCAUGCCGAACACAGAAGUUAAGC